AAUGACCUAAGUCACCCCUCUCUCUCAUUUCACACCCCACCCGGCCCUGUCAUAUACACACAACUCCUCCCCCUGGACCAAAGCCGCCGCCGCCCCUCUGCCGCCCCGUCGACGCCCCUCGCCAGCACCAAGGUUAGAUCAACUACUCCUCCGUUCGCGGACACGCCACACGGCCGGGAUCCAUUGAGAUUUGCUUUGUGUCAUGUAGACUCGAAAUUUAGUUGCAUUGAUUGCUUUGUGUAGAAAUUGUAGUGAUAAUCCGAUUGCUAUUGUGUAGAAUCCGAUAUUUACUUCUGUGUCUCCCUCAGUUGGCGGAUCUGAGAUAGUUUAGCAGAAAUUGAUAUAUUUGGUAGAAAUUGAUAGAAUGUGUUAUGUGUAGAAUUUAUUUACUUGUGUGUCUCCCUCUGUUGGCGGAUCUGAGCUAGUUUAGUAGAAAUUGAUAUAUUUAGUAGAAGUGGAUAGAUUGUGUUAUGUGUAGAAUUUAUUUACUUGUGUGUCUCCCUUCGUUGGUGGAUUGUUGAGCUUUUCUAUCGAUUGAUCCUCUAUAACCAACAUAUCUAGUUUGCUAUGCAAUUUGCUGUUGUAGGUCAUCACAUGCUAUCUAGUUUAAUUAGUUCUAUACAUUGCAAUAUUUGAACUACUUUACAUUGGUGUCAAUAUUCAGUGGUAUGAAAUUGCAUUUUAUCUUGAUCGUAUACGCGUUGUGUUUGUAGGUCAUGGCCACUUCUGGAGGCAACAACAAGUCCGUGUGUGAUGUGGACAUGGCCAACAAUGAAUUCCUAGACACUUAUGAGUAUGUCAUCAAGAGCGUGCAAGGGGAAAAUGACGAUCUAAGGUGGAGGUUAAAGAGCUACGCAAGGAGACAGUUCGGCUCGUUCAGGAGACUAAUCAGCUUAGGGACGAGAGGCAUAAGUUCGUCCAGGAUCGGGAUAAACUGAAGGAGGAGAGGAGACUCCUUAGGGAUGAGAGGAUUGACCUGAAGAUGAACAUAGAUCAUUUCAGAAGAAAAGAAGAGGUUGAUAGAAAGAAGCUUCAACAACUGGGCAUACCCCUUGGUGAAGAUUAGUUUUUUAAGUAGCUAGCUAGUUCAUCUUAUUAGUUGUUGAGAAUCAAGUAACUAGAGUACUUGAGUGAGCAACUUAAUUUUGUGAAGUUUAAUAUCAACUUGUUGAGUUCAUGAGCCUCUUAUGUAAUGAUUAUCUAUUAGUAAGUAGCUAGUGUUGAUGAGUAUAUUGUGUUAAGUAGUAUCUAUUAAGUAAGUAGCCAGUGUUGAUGAACAAUUUUUUAUUACCAAAAAACCAUUAGGGUGUUGGAC
rnacentral:lncRNA from 1 species